UUCCUGACUACAACUUAAUUCACUCAACAGGCUUACCAAGAGAGUAAUCUUACUAUUCAUUUUAUAUUCAUAUUUUUAAAUGUGAAGAACAUACUCAAAAUAAAAUGAACCAGGAUUAUCUGAACCUCUUAAGGAUCCUCAAGUGUUUGAAUCAAAAAAGCAUGUUUCCAGGUUUUCAAGGAACCCACUCUCCAUAAACACUAUCCGCUUCUUUUUUUCGAUGUUGAGAUCCAGAUGACACAGGAAACUCUUUUGUUAAUGUUACCUGGCUUUUUGGUGGAGUUGGUUUUGCUGCAGCAAU